UGGUUGCUUUACUCAAUACUGAUGCGAAUGGCGUCUGCCAGUUUGUCAAUUGCAAUUUCCCAAGAAGCUUUGGCUAGUGCAGCAGGUUGCUGGAUUGGUGGUAGGAAUGGUGGUUUAACUUGCUGCUCACCACCCCAUUUUAAAUUUAGCCCAUAAAAUCAUGUGUGGGUUGGCUACAAAUUGCACAAGCUGUUGCAGGUUGCUGAAUAGUAACUUGCUGAACUGGAGCUGCCAUUUCUGCAAGAUCAUGUCAAAUUUGCAUCAAAAUUUUCUAUCUUUCUCUCAAUCUUUUCAAUUUGAGCAUAUACAUGUGGAGACCCCAUGGACAUUUCAAAAACGCCCCUAUUUUGUGUUUCAUCCCCUGCCCAUUAUUGAGAUUCAGAUGCCAUGUUGUCAAAUAAUUGAUAGGCUUCCUGUGCAUUUUUAGUUGAAUAUGAACCUCCUGAUGAAGCAUGAACA